UCCACAGUGCUGAGAGGCUUGACGAUUCCUCCCUGUGGGACGGCGUUCACACUGAACCCCUAAGCACCUAGACCCUGCUGGGGUGACCUGUUAAAUUCCUGAGAUAGAAGAAAGCUGGAGGGAGAGAGAGGAAGAGAAACAAUGAUGUGAGAGGGAACCAGUGAUUGGUUGCCUCUGAGUAUGCACUCCUACCAGGAUCAAAUCUGCCACAUUUUGGUGUACAAGAUGGCGCUCCAAACCAUUGAAGGACUUAGCCAG